CCCCAGACUCCUACGGGAGGCAGCAGUGGGGGAUAUUGCACAAUGGGGGAAACCCUGAUGCAGCGACGCCGCGUGGGCGAAGAAGUAUUUCGGUAUGUAAAGCCCUAUCAGCAGGGAAGAAGAAAUGACGGUACCUGAGUAAGAAGCACCAGCUAAAUACGUGCCAGCAGCCGCGGUAAUACGUAGGGGGCACGCGUUAUCCGGAUUUACUGGGUGUAAAGGGGGCGCAGACGGCGAUGCAAGCCAGGAGUGAACGCCCGGGGCCCAACCCCGGGACUGCUCUUGGAACUGCGUGGCUGGAGUGCAGGAGGGGCAGGCGGAAUUCCUGGUGUAGCGGUGAAAUGCGUAGAUAUCAGGAGGAACCCCGGUGGCGAAGGCGGCUUACUGGACUGUAACUGACGUUGAGGCUCGAAAGCGUGUGGAGCAAACAGGAUUAGAUACCCCUGUA
rnacentral:rRNA from 1 species